AAUAUUGGACAAUGGGGGCAACCCUGAUCCAGCCAUGCCGCGUGUGUGAAGAAGGUCUUCGGAUUGUAAAGCACUUUAAGUUGGGAGGAAGGGCUUUAGGUUAAUAUACUGAAGUUUUGACGUUACCAACAGAAUAAGCACCGGCUAGCUCUGUGCCAGCCGCCGCGGUAAUACAGAGGGUGCAAGCGUUAAUCGGAAUUACUUGGCGUAAAGCGAGCGUAGGUGGUUCAGUAAGAUGGUUGUGAAAUCCCCGGGCUUAACCUGGGAACUGCUUUCAUAACUGCUGAGCUAGAGUACGGUAGAGGGUAGUGGAAUUUCCUGUGUAGCGGUAAAAUGCGUAGAUAUAGGAAGGAACACCAGUGGCGAAGGCGACUACCUGGACUGAUACUGACACUGAGGUGCGAAAGCGUGGGGAGCAAACA
rnacentral:rRNA from 1 species